AGUGAACGCUGGCGGUAGGCCUAACACAUGCAAGUCGAACGGCAGCACAGUAAGAGCUUGCUCUUACGGGUGGCGAGUGGCGGACGGGUGAGGAAUACAUCGGAAUCUACUUUUUCGUGGGGGAUAACGUAGGGAAACUUACGCUAAUACCGCAUACGACCUACGGGUGAAAGCAGGGGAUCUUCGGACCUUGCGCGAUUGAAUGAGCCGAUGUCGGAUUAGCUAGUUGGCGGGGUAAAGGCCCACCAAGGCGACGAUCCGUAGCUGGUCUGAGAGGAUGAUCAGCCACACUGGAACUGAGACACGGUCCAGACUCCUACGGGAGGCAGCAGUGGGGAAUAUUGGACAAUGGGCGCAAGCCUGAUCCGGCCAUACCGCGUGGGUGAAGAAGGCCUUCGGGUUGUAAAGCCCUUUUGUUGGGAAAGAAAAGCAGCAGGUUAAUACCCCGCUGUUCUGACGGUACCCAAAGAAUAAGCACCGGCUAACUUCAUG
rnacentral:rRNA from 1 species